rnacentral:rRNA from 1 species
UACGAAGGGUGCAAGCGUUACUCGGAAUUACUGGGCGUAAAGCGUGCGUAGGUGGUUCGUUAAGUCUGAUGUGAAAGCCCUGGGCUCAACCUGGGAAUGGCAUUGGAAACUGGCGACCUAGAGUGCGGUAGAGGGUAGUGGAAUUCCCGGUGUAGCAGUGAAAUGCGUAGAGAUGCGGAGGAACACCGAUGGCGAAGGCAGCCCCCUGGGUCGACACUGACGCUCAGGCACGAAAGCGUGGGGAGCAAACAGG